CCUACGGUGGCAGCAGUAGGGAAUCUUCCACAAUUGGCGAAAGCCUUAUGGAGCAACGCCGCGUGGUUGAAGAAGGUCUUCGGAUCGUAAAACCCUGUUGUUAGAGAAGAAAGUGCGUGAGAGUAACUGUUCACGUUUCGACGGUAUCUAACCAGAAAGCCACGGCUAACUACGUGCCAGCAGCCGCGGUAAUACGUAGGUGGCAAGCGUUAUCCGGAUUUAUUGGUCGUAAAGGGAACGCAGGCGGUCUUUUAAGUCUGAUGUGAAAGCCUUCGGCUUAACCGGAGUAGUGCAUUGGAAACUGGGAGACUUGAGUGCAGAAGAGGAGAGUGGAACUCCAUGUGUAGCGGUGAAAUGCGUAGAUAUAUGGAAGAACACCAGUGGCGAAAGCGGCUCUCUGGUCUGUAACUGACGCUGAGGUUCGAAAGCGUGGGUAGCAAACAGGAUUAGAUACCCCAGUAGUC
rnacentral:rRNA from 1 species